AACAGUGAGAGGCCCACGUACCGCAAAAAAAAAAAAAAAAAAAAAGAAAGAAAGAAAUAUACAUACCCUCACAAAAGGAAAAACAUUAGAGGAGAAUGUCAGAGCUGGAAAGAACUUCAAAGAACAUACAGUCUACUUGCAGAUGAGACUGAGGGCCGAGGAGCACCAAUGACUUCAUCAUAGUUACAAAGUGACAAAGCUGGUGUGUGACAGGGCUAGGCUCAACCUUGGGCUCAGUGCUCACCACACACACACACACACACACUAAAUUAAACAUGAUCAAAACACAGACAGUGAAUAUAUGAGUGACACGGUCCAUCAUGCUGCUGUACUUGCCAACUCUGUACUUGUAACACCCAGCACAGCUGCCUGUCCUUCACGAAAACUGCCAAGCUGUCCACCAACAUCUAUUGAGAACUAGAAUUCUUUGUCCUCACUCACAAAUUAGUUUUGAGGUGGGAGUCUUCAGUUAUUAAAAUCACCCCAGCUGGACGGCAAGGUGACCAGCUUGUGUGUGUGCGUACGCGCGCACGCGUGUGUAUGUGUGUCUGUCUGUCUGUUUGGAGCUGAUCUCCAACAUCUGAGCCCCAGGGCACCCCUCGUCCGCAUCAGGCCACUUAUUGGCUCUGUGCACCUUUGCUGUGUCGGCCCCUUCUAGUCGCAGGCCCCCUCCAGUGUCCCGAGGUCUGGGGAUGGAGGUCAGGCUUCCAAAAGGGACGCAGUCUGCACAUUCAUGAGUGGAUAUAUCCCCCCUGCCAAGUUGCAAGAGGUAGAUUUUCCUAGGAUCACACUGCUGUUUUCUGAGACCCCCUGCUCUCCUGCCCGCCCUUUGCCUGUGGGCUGUAGGCACUGCUCCCCGAUUCCGUGGGGAGGGGUCAUUUCCCCCAGGUUUGGGGAACAGCAGGGUGUGGCUCUGCCCGUCCAUGGCAGCUGAGGCCAAGUCUCCCAGGGACAUAGUGGCCCAUGAGGUAGGCCCACUUCCAAGCAUCUCUUUACCAAGUCACUUCUGCUCCCUACGUGGCUCUCAGGCCCGGAGCUCCCGGGCUGAGUCACAGUGCUUCAGAGCAAGAUGGUUCUCAGGGACCACCCAGCAGGGGAACGAGGCCCAGAGAGGGAAACACUGACCAGAGCCUCACACGGGGCCAGGACUAGAGCCUCUGUCCUUGACUCUCAAAUCAGUCAUCUUCGCAGGGAACCAGGCCGCUUCUGGAGGGGUGACUCACAUGUCUGGGAGGGGAUCUCACAACAGGACCCUCUCGCUGGAGAUGUGGGAACAAUUCCACAGGUGGCUGUUAAUGGCCCAGACAAGCCAGUGGGCAGCUCCAAGGUGGGCCCAUCACCAGGGGCUGGUGGCAGCUGCGUGCCCCUCAGGUGUGAGAGGGGCUGGACCCGGAGCUGGGCCCUGCUUGCAUCAAAAGAUGCGGCUGCCUGGGAGGCCCGGCUGCCAGCCAGUGGGCAGGUGGGCAGGAGGCGCCUCAGGGUGGAAACAGCUUGGCUGGCAGAGCGGGCCCUGGCGCCUGGCCACUGGUGGCAGCGCGCCUUAGCAGACCUGUUUUCUUGUUUAAGUAUCGUCCCCGCCAACCUCCACAAAACAUAACAUCACCGUGUUUUGCUUUGAACGGGGAUAGUGAAUCUUUGCCAGCAGAUGUGCUUCUCAGAUUGGUGCAGCCCUCAGAGGACAAUCUGAGGCCAGCUUCCCCCGGCCAUCCUGGAAGGGGCAGCCCACUCUUCUGGGCACUUUAUUUUUUUCCACGUGGGUAAAAAAAUCCUGAUUCUUCACACUCCACAGAUGCCCCCAAGGUCAAAUACUGACUGCCUGCCCUGGCUUUUCCAUCUCAGGUAGGGGGGGUGGCUCUUCCUGGCCCCCGGGGAGGAUGAGGGGAGACCCUGCAGGGAGGUGGGCUGGGAAUCAACCCCGCCUUCCCCGCAGCUCUGCGGCCCGGGCCCUGGGAGGUUAUGGAAGAUCCUAGAAGGUUUCCCAAAAGUGGAGGAAAAACACACAAGAGCUGCCCUGAAGGCGUCAGCGGACAGGAAUUCGGCCCCAGGUGGCGGUGAGGCUGCCGUCUGAGGGAAAAGGAGUGAGAGGGGCAGGACUUGGGUUUCUUGCUCAGAGCCCAUAGCCUCCCAGUCAGCAGGCCAGGAAGACGCUGGGACCCGACGACCUGCUUCAGCCGGUCCUCCUCACAGACCUCCUCUCAAUACCUGUUCACACCAGCUCCUUCCUCCGCCGCUUAGAGGAGUCGCAUUGCCUUGCUGAGUUUCAGAAAGGCGGGCCGUGUGUUCCUGACUCCCUUCCCAGGAGCUGGGUGUCUCCUCCAUUUCAGGGGACUUCGGCCCCGCCUGGCUUUUCCCCGGUCUGUUUUCCCCCAAAGAGCUCUUCUGGAAUGUUGGCGGAGCCAAACCACUCUGAGAAUGUGCAGCCUCUUACCAUCACCAUCAAGGUCCAGAGCGGCGUGGGCCCCAAGCCUGUGGUGAGAUGUGGCCUCAGACCUUUCCAGAGGCUUCUGGUAAUGACCUGCCCCAGGACUGCUGCCUGGGCACAGGACACUGCACAGAUGUGGUAGCUGAGAGCAGGAACCUGGUGAGUGAGGCUCCUCUCUGCUGCUAAGGGAACUCCCUGGGGCUGAUGAUAACUUGCUUGCCUCGUCCCAGAUAGAUCAAGACGUGGUGAGGCCACCGGGAAGCACAGACAGAGGGACCAGAGGCCGGAGGGAAGGAAGAGGGAUGUAUGCAUCAGCAAGCACACUGGCCUGGAAGUCAGGAGCCCUGGGCCGGUCCCCCUGACAAGCUGUGAAUCUCAAGCAAGUCCCUUCUCUCAUCCACAGUCUCAGCAAUGUAAUUUGCGGGGCCCAGUGCAAAAUAAAACUGCUGGGCUCCCUUGUUAAAAAAUUAUUAAUAAUUUCCAGACAGCGACAGCAGAGCACUGAUCCUCAUGUGGUGCCCUGGGCCCCUGGGGGACUGCACAGGUGACACACCCAUGAGGCUGGUCCUACCUGCUUGGGCCUCAGUUUCCACAACUAUACAACAUGGAGGCUGUGAUCCAUCAGAGGUUUACCCGUGGAGCCUUUUCUUCACAGGAACCCUCAAACCCUUCUAUGCAAAUGAAGCGGCUUCGCCAACGCCAACGCCACCUGACGGCACAGCGGAAAGCCCUGCGGAUGACCCCGGAAGUCCUUUACCGUUGCAACAUUCAGUUAAGCUAUCUGAAGGAUUAUCGUAAAGCAGGUUAAAGGGAUCAGAUACUUCUCUGGAUUUACAACGGCUUUUCGGGAAAGAGCAAUGGACGGUGAGCACAUUCUGCAUCCUCCCUCUCCUCUCCCUUGCCUCUGGACUUCAGGGCUCCAUCCUGUCUUCCCAAUAUCUUUCUCCGGAGGAUACGAAAGAGAAGCCCACGCACUUCCUACCGGUUGACUACAUCCAAGAUGUCUGGUGAGAAAAAGGUCCUAACCUUGUAUGUGGGAGGAUCCUCUCCCACCACCUCGCCCCCUUGGGAUUGGAGGAUGUAUGUAUGUGUUGCUAUGGUAAUGCAGAUGCAUCAGUAGAGAAAUGAAAUAUACUGGUGUCUGG